ACUACACGUCCAUACUCCCUUCCCAACACGUGUAUACAAAAAGAAAAAAAAGAAUAGGUACUGCAUACUCCCAGCCGUCACCAACGCGUCUUCCUCACCAAUUCCUACCAUCAACUCUCUCCCUCUCGACAUUCUCUUCACAAAAAUUAAGGAAACACCCAUCUCUAUUCAUCUAAAUCUCAACUCAGUAAUCGAUAUCGUCUUCUCUCUCUCUCCAUGUCCCAAAAAUUGGAGCAGCCACUCAUUCUCCGUCCCUUUUCUCCUUCGGCGACAGGUUCAUGUUGAAAAUAGUUUCAAACAAAAUGGCCAAAGAUUAUAUCUUGGGAGCGGUUACAGAUUAUUCAAGGAAUUAUUCAAGAAGUUGCAAGGAUGAACUAAAUUCUCGUGGCCUACUGUGAGUGUGCUACCAUGAUUCAUGAAAAUAUGCAGCAAGAAUUUCAUAUGUAAUUGGGAGAAAUAUACCUUUAUGUAAGGGAGAAAGAUAUUGCAAUUGCAGGAGGAAUGAAACUCACGGCUUUCUCCUCUGGAACCCCUCUCUCAGACUUUUUAUUUUUAUUUAUCUUGGAUUUUGAAGAAUGUGGAGAUAUAGAAUAAUUGUAGGCAGAAAACCGAUCAGUAUCAUGGAAGGAUAUAUAUAUAUAUAUAUGUAUAUGUAUAUAUAUAUAUAUAUAUAUGGGUGCAUUAAGGUCCUUACACCCUCUUAGUCUUAAACUUAACACUAAUAUCAGCCCUUGGAUUAAUGAUUUUGAUGGUUAUGAUUUAAAACAUCCGUCCUACAUUAAUACAUAUUUUUGCUACAUUACAUGGGUAAAAUGGGAAAGACACAAACUCAAGCAUCGGUUUUAAACUGCAUGUCCAUAAUUUCCGCCAUUUAAUUAAAACUGUCGAUUUGUAUCCCUCUCUCUCCCAUCAAAUCACAAUUGUGUCUCCCCAAAUUCUCUCUCAUAAAAAACCCUUCCAUCCCCAUUCUUCCACCCAAAUCUCGUCAAAAGCCCUAAUCUUCAACGAUUGAAGACGCCGCCGAAAGAGUUGCUACAAAUCGAAGCCGCGAAGUGUAUGUGGUCGAGUUGGUGUGUCGAUUGAAUCAUACGGUUUACUGUUUUGCCCAUUUGAAGACGAACGCGAACAAGGUACAAAGAGGACCACAAUUGAUUUUGAUGAUGACUUUGACGAUGACAUGCUCAUUGCAUUAGCACACCGGCUGCGACAAGAAAUGCUUGAAGUCAUGUAGGACGAUGAUGUGGUAAAACCUAGGUGAAGCAAGAAGGACAACACUUGUACUUGAGGAGUUGUGCAACAAAGUUGGUGAAGCUGACGUAGAUGCUCAAACAAAGUUUGUGAAGCCAAGGAAGAUGCUCAAGCCCCAAAAAAUAGUGAACGCAGUGAAUGCUUCUGGAAAAGUAUGUUCAAAAUUAUAAUUUGAAAUGAGUACCCUGAAUGUUAGACUUUAUUUGUGGGAACCAAAGAUUGGUUUGUUGUUUUAUAUUGGUGAUGUGGUCGCUUUUGAAAACU